UACGGGGGGGGGUAAGCGUUGUUCGGAAUUACUGGGCGUAAAGGGCUCGUAGGCGGCCAACUAAGUCAUACGUGAAAUCCCUCAGCUUAACUGGGGAACUGCGUGUGAUACUGGAUGGCUUGGAUUUGGGAGAGGGAUGCGGAAUUCCAGGUGUAGCGGUGAAAUGCGCAGAUAUCAGGAGGAACACCGAUGGCGAAGGCAGGUCUCUGGGCAUUAACUGACGCUGAGGAGCGAAAGCAUGGGGAGCGAACAGG
rnacentral:rRNA from 1 species